ACGCCAGUGUGGUGGGAGUCGUCGUUGAAAUACCACUCUGAUCGUAUUGGACUUCUAACCUCGGGCCAUGAUCUGGUUCAGGGACAGUGCCUGGUGGGUAGUUUAACUGGGGCGGUUGCCUCCUAAAAUGUAACGGAGGCGCCCAAAGGUUCCCUCAGCCUGGUUGGCAAUCAGGUGUCGAGUGCAAGUGCACAAGGGAGCUUGACUGUGAGACUGACGGGUCGAGCAGGGACGAAAGUCGGGACUAGUGAUCCG
rnacentral:rRNA from 1 species